AUGCUUAACUGGUGGGGAGACAGCAUGAUCAUGAGGUGGUUUUGCCAUGGUGAGUCUUAUGUAUUGCACCCCAAUGUGCUGACUCCUACGAUUUUCUCAAGUUUAGGAAACCUUUGUGCUAGUGGGGACUGUGUUAAUUCUCUUCCCUG
rnacentral:snRNA from 1 species